GAGUCGAGUUUGAGGGGUGUGGAUGGGGGCCGACAGGGAGAGCAGAGGAGACUGAACAGGGAGAGAGGAUUCCGAGCUGAGGAACGAAGGGGAAACUGAGAGGGCAAAAGGAUGACAGAAAGAAAGGAAGGCUGAGGAGAGAAGGAAGGCAGGGGAAGAGAGAGAGGGUUAAGGAGCUAAAUGGGGGGUUGGGUAAUUUGUCCAAGAUCCGAGAAGAAAGAAGGAGAGAUGAAGAGAAAGGAUGCAUUUGAGGGGCCACACGGGCUGAAGCAGGGAAAUCGGGCAUCGAGAGAGGGACUUUUCAAAUCUCACUAUCCAGACUGAAUAAGAGACAGAAAUUUCCUUUUCACACAAUGGCUCUGAAAAGGAAAAGCAUUAGAGAAGCAAAGACAGAGAAAGGCGCAAUAGGGAGGUGAGAGAGAGGGAGAAGCAGGAAAGGACAACUGGAAGGUAAUAGCAAAGAAAAGAGAGAGGGAGAGCGACAGAGAACUAAUGGGGAAGACCAGGAGGAAGGUCCAUUUUAUGAGCGGCAGAGGUGACUGAGGAGACCCUUCAAACUGCAGUGGAGAAGAGGCUCCCCACACUCCCCCCUCCUUAAAAAUCCUGCAGAGGAAGGGGGAAAGAAAACCAAAGCAUUCUGUCGCCGCGGCAACCAUAAAACCC
rnacentral:lncRNA from 1 species